AUUCGGUUGAAGUGGAGAAGA
rnacentral:snRNA from 1 species